rnacentral:rRNA from 1 species
UACGUAGGGGGCAAGCGUUGUCCGGAAUCAUUGGGCGUAAAGAGCGUGUAGGCGGCCCGAUAAGUCCGCUGUGAAAGUCCAGGGCUCAAUCCUGGGAUGCCGGUGGAUACUGUCGGGCUCGAGUCCGGAAGAGGAGUGUGGAAUUCCUGGUGUAGCGGUGAAAUGCGCAGAUAUCAGGAGGAACACCAAUGGCGAAGGCAGCACUCUGGGACGUGACUGACGCUGAGACGCGAAAGCGUGGGGAGCAAACAGG